rnacentral:rRNA from 1 species
CCUACGGUGGGCAGCAGUGAGGAAUAUUGGUCAAUGGACGAAAGUCUGAACCAGCCAUGCCGCGUGCAGGAAGACGGUUCUCUGAGUUGUAAACUGCUUUUGUACAAGGGUAAACCUGAAUACGUGUAUUCAGCUGCAAGUACUGUACGAUUCAGGAUCGGCUAACUCCGUGCCCGCAGCCGCGGUAAUACGGAGGAUCCAAGCGUUAUCCGGAUUUAUUGGGGUUAAAGGGUGCGUAGGCGGAGUGUCAAGUCAGCGGUAAAAUUUCGGGGCUCAACCCCGUCGUGCCGUUGAAACUGACGCCCUUGAGUGAGUGAGAAGUAGGCGGAAUGCGUGGUGGAGCGGUGAAAUGCAUAGAUAUCACGCAGAACGCCGAUUGCGAAGGCAGCUUACCGGCGCUCAACUGACGCUGAGGCACGAAAGUGCGGGUAUCGAACAGGAUUAGAUACCCUAGUAGUC